AGUAUUUGUGUGAGAUUUUGCCAAACUUGUGAUCAAAGCUUAAAGGCAAGUGCAAAAAUAAAUCCUCUUUGGCAAUUCAGAAUUCAGUACUCAGCAUGAGUUUUACAUGCAUAAGACAAAUGAUCAA
rnacentral:snoRNA from 1 species